rnacentral:sRNA from 1 species
AUAAUGCACCUCCAGGGGGGGUGAGAAGCCCCGACCGGGGUUCGACAACUGGCGCAGCCAGUUGGACAGACCACGAACGCAGUGAGUGGGCUGCCCGCAGGGCGAGCGAAGCGAGUCAAUCCCCCCUCACCGCCA